GACGAACGCUGGCGGCGUGCUUAACACAUGCAAGUCGAACGGAAAGGCCCUGCUUUUGUGGGGUGCUCGAGUGGCGAACGGGUGAGUAACACGUGAGUAACCUGCCCUUGACUUUGGGAUAACUUCAGGAAACUGGGGCUAAUACCGGAUAGGAGCUCCUGCUGCAUGGUGGGGGUUGGAAAGUUUCGGCGGUUGGGGAUGGACUCGCGGCUUAUCAGCUUGUUGGUGGGGUAGUGGCUUACCAAGGCUUUGACGGGUAGCCGGCCUGAGAGGGUGACCGGCCACAUUGGGACUGAGAUACGGCCCAGACUCCUACGGGAGGCAGCAGUGGGGAAUAUUGCACAAUGGGCGGAAGCCUGAUGCAGCAACGCCGCGUGCGGGAUGACGGCCUUCGGGUUGUAAACCGCUUUCGCCUGUGACGAAGCGUGAGUGACGGUAAUGGGUAAAGAAGCACCGGCUAACUACGUGCCAGCAGCCGCGGUGAUACGUAAGGUGCGAGCGUUGUCCGGAUUUAUUGGGCGUAAAGGGCUCGUAGGUGGUUGAUCGCGUCGGAAGUGUAAUCUUGGGGCUUAACCCUGAGCGUGCUUUCGAUACGGGUUGACUUGAGGAAGGUAGGGGAGAAUGGAAUUCUUGGUGGAGCGGUGGAAUGCGCAGAUAUCAGGAGGAACACCAGUGGCGAAGGCGGUUCUCUGGGCCUUUCCUGACGCUGAGGAGCGAAAGCGUGGGGAGCGAACAGGCUUAGAUACCCUGGUAGUCCACGCUGUAAACGGUGGGUACUAGGUGUGGGGUCCAUUCCACGGGUUCCGUGCCGUAGCUAACGCUUUAAGUACCCCGCCUGGGGAGUACGGCCGCAAGGCUAAAACUCAAAGGAAUUGACGGGGCCCCGCACAAGCGGCGGAGCAUGCGGAUUAAUUCGAUGCAACGCGUAGAACCUUACCUGGGUUUGACAUGGAUCGGGAGCGCUCAGAGAUGGGUGUGCCUCUUUUGGGGUCGGUUCACAGGUGGUGCAUGGCUGUCGUCAGCUCGUGUCGUGAGAUGUUGGGUUAAGUCCCGCAACGAGCGCAACCCUUGUUCACUGUUGCCAGCACGUUAUGGUGGGGACUCAGUGGAGACCGCCGGGGUCAACUCGGAGGAAGGUGGGGAUGACGUCAAGUCAUCAUGCCCCUUAUGUCCAGGGCUUCACGCAUGCUACAAUGGCUGGUACAGAGAGUGGCGAGCCUGUGAGGGUGAGCGAAUCUCGGAAAGCCGGUCUCAGUUCGGAUUGGGGUCUGCAACUCGACCUCAUGAAGUCGGAGUCGCUAGUAAUCGCAGAUCAGCAACGCUGCGGUGAAUACGUUCCCGGGGCU
rnacentral:rRNA from 1 species